rnacentral:lncRNA from 7 species
CUCUUCACGACUUGGGCCCUUAUGACUGUGAAAAACUGAUUUGAUCAUACUGUCAUUUAUUUGAGCAGGUCUUAAUCUAAACAGUAGAGGGCAGUUUUGCACAUCUGUUUUGUGCAAGCUCAUCCUGCAAAAUUCCUAUUUUCAGCAUCUUCACGUCUGGAAGGGUGUUGCAAUGCAGCAUUUUGUCCAAACAGAUUUGACACAGUCUAUGAUACAGGGCCAGUGGGGGCAGCAGUGGCAUCUGUUUCUACUGACACCCAAUUCUGGCUCUUUAAAUCCUCAGAUGUUUGUUGUGGUUAUAUAAUUACAGUCAUUUCCCUUCCCCUCCAUCCCUCAGCCCAAACCAGGUACAUAGGGAAGCCACCUGCAUUGUGCAGCUUAAACCAUGCCAGAAAAUUCAACUGCAUGUCAUUCCCUGACAUGUCAGAGAAGGAUUCCCCCCUGCUCAGGUGUGAUUUCUCUCCAUAAGCUUUGUUAGCCUGAGUGAAAUGAGAGCUGUCAACUGCAGUACGGGUGGAAGAGAACUGUACAGCUUUAGCCUGGAGUUGGGGUUAACCACCUCCCACGUUCCCUCCCACCUCUCCCCCCCCCAAAAAAGCAAAAUGUUGGCAUUAGGGCACAGUUUUGUUGCAAUCCUGUAGCUGACAUGGAGGAGCUGGUAGGCUCACUGAUGCCUAGGAGGCAGCUAUUUGUAGCAGAAUGGCACUCUGGCUUAAGACCAAAUCAUAACCACUCCUGCACUUCUGAAGUGCUGUUUCUGUGCUUCAUGGUUGUGUUUGCAGGGGCAGGUAUAUGUUGGUACUAUACAUGUAAAUGGAAGUUUUCAGCCUCUGUAUUAUCCGUCAGUGAGCCUUUUUCUAGACAUUUCACUGGUUAUUAUGAAAUAUUUCAGAGUCUGCUUAAAGCAUAGCAAGUACCUGGAGGAAGUGAGCUGUUUCACAGAAGAAACCAUCUCUGCAAACCAGGCUUUUCACUCCUUAGGUCAAUCUGGAUGUGUUACCCUCUCAGGUAGCCUGAAAGACAUAGAAAUGUGCUGUAACAAACAAAUCCUUGCCUGCUUUGGCAUGUAUGUAAAAGAGCAUUUCCUGGAGCUCUGGAACAACCUGAUUAGCAUCUUUUGUUGUAUUUAAAAUGUUUAAUUAGAAGUAAUGUUGACCUGGUGUUAUGUGAUUGCUUGG